rnacentral:rRNA from 1 species
UACCCGCUGAACUUAAGCAUAUUAUUAAGCGGAGGAAAAGAAACUAACUAGGAUUCCCUCAGUAGCUGCGAGCGAACAGGGAAGAGCCCAGCACCGAAUCUCGCGGCCGAUACCGGGCGCCGGGAAAUGUGGUGUUA